GACGGAGGAUGCAAGUGUUAUCCGGAAUCAUUGGGCGUAAAGCGCGUGUAGGCGGCUGGGUAAGUCCGCUCUGAAAGCCCGGGGCUCAACCCCGGGAGGCGGGUGGAUACUGCUCAGCUCGAGUCCGGAAGAGGAGUGUGGAAUUCCUGGUGUAGCGGUGAAAUGCGCAGAUAUCAGGAGGAACACCGAUGGCGAAGGCAGUGUUCUGGGCCAGUACUGACGCUGAGGAGCGAAAGCGUGGGGAGCGAACAGG
rnacentral:rRNA from 1 species